GGGAUGACGUCAAAUCAUCAUGCUCCUUAUGACCUGGGCUACACACGUGCUACAAUGGAUAGGAACAAAGAGAAGCGAGCUCGCGAGAGUAAGCAAACCUCACAAAACUAUUCUCAGUUCGGAUUGUAGUCUGCAACUCGACUACAUGAAGCUGGAAUCGCUAGUAAUCGCGAAUCAGAAUGUCGCGGUGAAUACGUUCCCGGGUCUUGUACACACCGCCCGUCACAC
rnacentral:rRNA from 1 species